rnacentral:rRNA from 1 species
UACGUAGGGUGCAAGCGUUGUCCGGAAUUAUUGGGCGUAAAGCGCGUGUAGGCGGUCCGGUAAGUCCGCUGUGAAAGUCGGGGGCUCAACCCUCGAAUGCCGGUGGAUACUGUCGGGCUAGAGUGCGGAAGAGGCGAGUGGAAUUCCUGGUGUAGCGGUGAAAUGCGCAGAUAUCGGGAGGAACACCAAUGGCGAAGGCAGCUCGCUGGGACGGUACUGACGCUGAGGCGCGAAAGCAUGGGGAGCAAACAGG